CUUUGCUGGUGAGAAUAUAAAAUGGUGUCAAAGGGUUGAAUUGCACUCUCCAUAAGAGAUACGUUGGAGUCUAACUCCCCAGUACCUCAGAAGGUGGCUUCAUUUGGUCCAAUUAUUUGAAUUAUGGGGAAGAGCCAGAAGUCACACAGUGCCAGAUCAGGUGAACAAGAUGGAUAAGGACACAGCCGAGUGUUUGUACAAGCCUGCUUUUCCAUUGGAUGGCACUCAGCAGCAGCAUUCACUGAAUUCUUAAAUCAAACCUCGUGAAGAUAUGAAAGAGGACUUCCAGAAUGGCUUCAGAAAGUGCCAAGAAUGAUAGGGAACCACACUUGGGAAACCAGCCGCCAUGUUGGGAGGACAGUGAAGAAGCGUUAGGAAGAAGUCCACGUGACUUCCUGCCAAGAGCCAACCCCAGUUUGCCAGCCACAGAAAAGGACCACCUUGAGAAAGGAUCCUCCAGCUCCAGCAGGCCUUCAGAUGACUACAGUCACCAGCCAUCUCCUGCCAAUCACCCCAGGAGAGGCCCUGGCCAGAGCGGGCCAGCUAAACCCCUCCCACAGCCCUACCUCAGAAACGGUACGAGAUCGGAAAUGUUUGUUAUUGCUCUGAAAUACAAAUCUUGGGGG